rnacentral:rRNA from 1 species
AUACGGAGGAUGCGAGCGUUAUCCGGAUUUAUUGGGUUUAAAGGGUGCGUAGGCUGUGCGUUAAGUCAGGGGUGAAAUGCCGUCGCUCAACGACGGAGCUGCCCUUGAUACUGGCGUGCUGGAGUACGGAUGCCGUUGGAGGAAUGAGUGGUGUAGCGGUGAAAUGCCUAGAUAUCACUCAGAACACCGAUUGCGAAGGCAUCGGACGAAUCCGUCACUGACGCUGAGGCACGAAAGCGUGGGGAUAGAACAGGAUUAGAUACCCUGGUAUUCCACGCCGUAAACGAUGAUGACUAACCGUCGGCGAUAGACAGCCGGUGGCCAAGCGAAAGCGAUAAGUCAUCCACCUGGGGAGUACGUCGGCAACGAUGAAACUCAAAUGAAUUGACGGGG